UGCCAGCAGCCGCGGUAAUACGGAGGGUGCGAGCGUUAAUCGGAAUUACUGGGCGUAAAGCGCAUGCAGGCGGCCUGUUAAGUCAGAUGUGAAAGCCCGGGGCGUUAACCUCGGAAUUGCAUUUGAAACUGGCAGGCUAGAGUCUUGUAGAGGGGGGUAGGAAUUUCAGGUGUAGCGGUGAAAUAGCGUAGAGAUCUGAAGGAAUACCAGUGGCGAAGGCGGCCCCCUCGGACAAAGACUGACGCUCAGAUGCGAAAGCGUGGGGAGCAAACAGGAUUAGAUACCCCUGGUAG
rnacentral:rRNA from 1 species